CCCUUAGAUGUUCUGGGCUGCACGCGUGUUACAAUCGGGAGUACAACAAGAUUGCAAAUCCUAGUGGAUGAGUGGUUCUUCGAAAUUUUCUGAAGACUGGGAUAGUUGAUUGAAAUUAUUCAACUCGAACGAGGAAUUCCUUGUAAUUGUAAUUCAUUAUAUUGUAAUGAAUACGUCCCUGCCCUUUGUACACACCGCCCGUCGCUCCUACCGAUUGAACGAUCCGGUGAAUUAUUUGGAGUAGCUCUGGAAGUUGCAGAACUUCCUAUGUCACGAAAUUUUGUAAACCUUAUCGUUUAGAGGAAGGAAAAGUCGGAACA
rnacentral:rRNA from 1 species